UGCGCUCGAUUCGCUGUCCAGAACGUUCCGCACAGUCAGAACAGCAAUAAAGUACACUGGAACAGUGUCCGGAACUUGUCCAGGCUGUGCCCGCGAAAUAGGUGGUGCAGCUGGAACAGUGACGUCACAAACAUGGCUUCCUCGAACUUUUACAGGUGUAAUUGCGGUGUUUUCUUCUGCACAUUAGCAGCAGCAAUGCAACACAGAUGUACUAAAGCUGUUGCUGGUGAUACUGCUACAUGCUCGAGUGCCAGCACCACAAGUUCGAGAAACAUUGAAGAUGUUGGAGACAGUGAGGACAGGACAAUGUUUGAAUGUGAUGUCUGUAAAGGAUGGUUUUUGGACAUGAAGACUUUUGACCGCCAUGACUGUAUCAUGAAUACCGGUAAUGCUUCUAACGAAAGUCCGCUUGCAGCAGCAUCAUCAUCAUCAUCAUCAGAGAAAGGUAAUCCUAUAAGCACAUGUACAUGGAACAGAAAAGCAACCCUGAUGCUUAUUGAUUUAUACAAGAAACUGGAAGAAAGUGUUUCAUCUGGUAAGAUGAAAAAGAAAGUACUUUGGGAAAAAAAUAGCAAAAGAACUGCAAUCAGAGGGUUACAGUUUCUGUUGUGAUCAAGUUUCUGGAAGGUGGAAGUCUCUGAUGAGAGCUUACAAAAACGUUAAAGACCACAAUAAGAAAAGUGGCAACAACCCAAAAACCUAUGAAUAUGAGGAAGAACUGGAUGAAAUUUUUGGGCAGAAUCCCUGUAUAGUACCAAAAUUUACACUAUCUACCAACUCAUCAAAAAGACCCUUAGGUGAUGAUAGUGAUGAUAAUAAUGAUGAUGAUGAUGAAAGUGUUUCAAGUAAUGAAGCCAGGAAAGCUAACCCUCCAAAACAGCAAAGAAAGUCAAGCGCGAAUGAAAUUGUUGAAGUUUUCAAGAGCUAUAUUGCUGAUCAGGAAAAGAAACAGAAGGAAGAAAGGGGUAUGAGGGAAAGAAUGCACAAAGAAAGAAUGAGUGUAAUGACCAGUCUAAUACAAGUACUAAAAGGAAAAAAUGAAGAUGAUAAAUAAGAAAAAUGUGUUGUAUGCAUGGAAGAUGGAAAGCAUCCAAAUUGUGUUUUUGUGGACUGCGGUCACUUGGUUGUGUGUAUGGACUGUGGAUCAAGAUGCAACACAUGCCCAGUUUGUCGGGAGGAAAUAAAGCAGAGAAUCAAAGUGUUUCCAUGAGUUUGUAAAACAACAGCAAAUAUGAAACAAAACUUUUGAUUAUUCACCUGAAAAUGGUGGAAAGAUUUGGUGUGGUAAAAUGGUUGUUACGUUUUAUUCAUAAUUCUCUUGUUUACUCAGACAGGAAGUGCAGUUUUUAAUGUGGUACAAGUUAUUGUUUUUAUUAAUAAUUAAACUCAUUUGUCUACAAUUUUCUUAUUUAAGUUGAUAUAUGUGGCCAGAUGCUGCUUAAGGAAGGAGCAACUGCAAUAUUAUUUCUUUCAUAAAGCAUGACUUUACUUAUGGAUGUCUUUUAUGCUGCAGGUAAUCAGGGCCUGUUGUGAAAUGUAAUUAUUUUUAUUUGCCAAUAAAUGUACCCAUUAUGUGUCAGAUGAUUCAGGCCCAUUUUGACUCUUUUUCAUUGUAUUCAAUCAAACAUUCCAUUUUUUUUUCCAUUAUAUAUUUAUUUUGCUAUUGUGCCAAAUUUAUAUGAAUAAUACUAUAUUUUAAUAUUGUGAAUGUCACCAACUGUAAUGCAUCUCUAUUAUGCUUACUCGGGUGUUAUAUCUACAUGUAAUAUUCAUUACAUUGUUUUUAAAGGAAACAGAUAGUUUCUUAUCUCAUUCUCAGUAAAAACAUUUUGUUUUUUCAAAUUGUACAAGACAGAGGAUUUAGUUUGCAAAUAUAUAAACAUUUAUAUAUGCAAUAUGUUCUGAUAAAAUGUACUUUAAUAUGUACAUUAGUAUUUCAUGUCUUGGAAUUAAAGAUUUGAAACUCUUUAGUAUUUUUUUUAUCAUUUACUGUUCACAUUUGGACCAGGUUUCACAAACAUUUGUAAUCCUUUUGUCUUAUAAAAAAUGUAACUUAAAUCAAGAUUUUAAGUUAACAGGUCAAGAAAGGAAUACCUGUCAUGUCUAUGUUUGGUUUAAUGAGCUUAUUUACAUCCUAUCAACAGUUUGUGAAGCUUUGGUUGUAAACAUACCAAGAAUACCAAGUUCCUUCAAAUGAAUGACCUUGACCCAUUUUCAAGUUCACAGGGGACAGAUGAGGUAAAUCUUCAAAUACACGUAUCUUCUUCUCUAUAGCUAAAUGACCUAUAAUGAUGAUACAUGUAUUUGGCCUGUUGCCUGCCAGGAUGAAGUGUUCCAGGUUCAUUAAAGUGAAUGACAGCUUUUCAAGGUGACUUUGGUUAAAAUUUCAAAAUUUUGUAGUCUUUGUCUGCUGACCAUUGGGACUUGCACUCCAAGAGGUUUUACAUGUUGACAUAUAAAUUAAAGGAUGAAAAAAAAUUACACCCAGACAUAGUAUUUAUUUAUCAACUGUCAUUAAAAACAAGUCAACAAUCUGAUCUGUACAUAAGGCACACUUAAUAAUGUUUCUAUAUUGUUAAUAAUGUUUCUAUAUUGUUAUUUUUUUUUAAUUGCAAGUCACAUGAAACAGUUUUCAGCUGGAGGUGAAAAGUUGAAAACUCAAAUUCUUUAUUUUACUUCUUCCAGUUACCACAGAUAUGAGACAUUUCAAUUUCCGGACAUUCUUCUUGCUAUAAUGUCUCGUUUGAUAACCCCUUCAUUGUCAUUUUCAUGCAUAUGCAUGGCUUGUUGUCGGGGACAGUCUAGUGCUGGAUCUAUUUCCAAGUAAUCAUCAUAUUCAUCGUUGUGGAUUAAACAAAUGUUAUGCAAAACACAUGAUACCAUUAUUACUUCCACCGCAGUUUUAAUACUUUGAGUAUCCAGAUAAUUUAGUCGCCUAAAUCUGCCUUUCAGUAAGCCGAAUGCUCUUUCUAUUACAACUCUGUUUGCAGACAACAUGUAAUUGAAAUUCUUUUGUUGAUAUGUGAGAUGUCCAUUAUCUCUAAAUGGUGUCAAGAGCCAUCUACGAAGGGGAUAAGCGCCAUCAGCAAUUGUAUGAUUGCCGUUACACAAUAAUAAACCAUUCUCCCACAGGUCAGAAUUGCGCAACACCCUUGCAUCGUGGCAGCUACCAGGGUAUCCUGCAAAACAAUCUGUGAAGAUCAUUUCUGAAUUACACACAGCCUGAAGGUGAAGAGAAUGGAACUUUUUCCUAUUGACAUAAGACUGGGCAUUCUCUUUUGGUGCACGUAUUGGAAUAUGAGUUCCAUCCAGGGAGCCUACAAUCCCUGGAAAUCCAUUACGUUGUUCAAAUUUGUCCACAGUUUCCUGCAGAGAUUGAUUUUUAGGCCAAGAAAUAAAUUUGUGUUUUAAAUUUUUCAAUAUUGCAUCAAUGAUCCGUCUUCUACAUAAAACCACUGAUGACUCGGAUAUCCCAAAUCUGUCAGCUAUCUUAAUUAUGCUAUCUGAACCACCAAGGUACCACAAUGUCACAUAUAACUGUUUUUCAACUGCAAUAGGCUCUCGUCCACCAGUUCCACCAACUACUAGCUCCGGGCAAUCUUUAAGAUAGCUACUCAUUUUCUGAAAGGUUUCUCGAGACAAACGAAACAUUCGUCGAAACUCUGUCUCAUUGUACUCUGGUAUUACAGUAUCAGCAUAAUUCAAAAUCCUUGACCUUGGCUCUCUCACAACACUGAAAUUGAAAUAAAAGAAAAAAAUCCACUUAACUUUACAAUAUAAAACACAACACCCUGGAUCUGAAUCAAAAUUUUUAUGAAGUGUGUAGUGAUAUGUAUAUGGAGACUGAUGAAUAUCAAUCAAGAAUCUAUUGAUUAUUAUUUAUGUAUGGUAGCCCUGCGUUUUGGGAAAAAUAAAUAAAUUUUAUUACAAUAUUAUGUAAAUGUCACAUGUGAAAAUUGUAAAUUAUUUCUUUUUGUUGUCCGAACACUGCGUGUCAUAUAACUGUCUGUCAGAAAAAUCAUGUUGCUGGUGGUUCUAGUGUGAUAGAAAUGUUGUGUGUCGACAACAGGAAGAUGCAACGUACUAUCUUAGAUAGGACGAAAAACAAACAAAAUCUAGUUUGAUUCACUUACGACACAAUGAAUGAGUGAUUAUUUGUGUUUAGCAAUGAAACUUACCAACAAGCACAAUAUGCAGCUAUUGCCACACCUACUAAGUCAUCUCCUUUGAAAUUAUCAUCGUCUUCACCCAUUUCUAAAGCUGACAACACAGAAGUAACGGUAUUGGUCGCCAUAUUGGAAAUACACUUCCUGUUCCAGCGCAUUCGAUUCGCACCAGUUCCAGAACACUGUUCCGGACAGUGAAUCGAGCACGCCCC